AUUGAACGCUGGCGGCAUGCCUUACACAUGCAAGUCGAACGGCAGCACGGGGGCAACCCUGGUGGCGAGUGGCGAACGGGUGAGUAAUACAUCGGAACGUGUCCUGUAGUGGGGGAUAGCCCGGCGAAAGCCGGAUUAAUACCGCAUACGCUCUACGGAGGAAAGGGGGGGAUCUUAGGACCUCCCGCUACAGGGGCGGCCGAUGGCAGAUUAGCUAGUUGGUGGGGUAAAGGCCUACCAAGGCGACGAUCUGUAGCUGGUCUGAGAGGACGACCAGCCACACUGGGACUGAGACACGGCCCAGACUCCUACGGGAGGCAGCAGUGGGGAAUUUUGGACAAUGGGGGCAACCCUGAUCCAGCAAUGCCGCGUGUGUGAAGAAGGCCUUCGGGUUGUAAAGCACUUUUGUCCGGAAAGAAAACGCCGUGGUUAAUACCCGUGGCGGAUGACGGUACCGGAAGAAUAAGCACCGGCUAACUAC
rnacentral:rRNA from 1 species